CCAGACUCCUACGGGAGGCAGCAGUGGGGGAUAUUGCACAAUGGGGGAAACCCUGAUGCAGCGACGCCGCGUGAGUGAAGAAGUAUUUCGGUAUGUAAAGCUCUAUCAGCAGGGAAGAAAAAAGACGGUACCUGACUAAGAAGCCCCGGCUAACUACGUGCCAGCAGCCGCGGUAAUACGUAGGGGGCAAGCGUUAUCCGGAUUUACUGGGUGUAAAGGGAGCGUAGACGGCAAUACAAGUCGGAAGUGAAAUACCUGGGCUCAACCUGGGAACUGCUUUGGAAACUGUAUGGCUAGAGUGCUGGAGAGGUAAGCGGAAUUCCUAGUGUAGCGGUGAAAUGCGUAGAUAUUAGGAGGAACACCAGUGGCGAAGGCGGCUUACUGGACAGUAACUGACGUUGAGGCCCGAAAGCGUGGGGAGCAAACAGGAUUAGAUACCCGUGUAA
rnacentral:rRNA from 1 species